rfam:Picea glauca, whole genome shotgun sequence.
UCAUGCUUACAACAUAGUCUUAAUGCAUCAUAUCUCAUUAGAUCUCUGUAGUUAAGCACACUCAUGCUAGAUUAGUAUUGGGAUGGAUGACCACCCAGGAAGUCCUAGUGUUUUACAUGCC